rnacentral:rRNA from 1 species
AGAGAAUAGAUACCCAGGUAGUCCACGCCCUAAACGAUGUCGACUGGUUGUUGGGGUUGUACACUCUCAGUAAACGAAAAGACUAAACGCGUGAAGUCGACCGCCUGGGGAGGUACGGCCGCAAGGUUAAAACUACAAAGGAAUUGACGGGGACCCGGCACAAGCGGUGGAUUAUGUGGAUUAAUUCGAUGCAACGCGAAAAACCUUAACCUACCCUUGACAUGUCCGGAAGGCUGCUGAAAGGCGGCUGUGCCCGAAAGGGAACUGGAACACAGGUGCUGCAUGGCUGUCGUCAGCUCGUGUCGUGAGAUGUUGGGUUAAGUCCCGCAACGAGCGCAACCCUUGUCAUUAGUUGCUACCCGCAAGGGAGCACUCUAAUGAGACUGCCGGUGACAAACCGGAGGAAGGUGGGGAUGACGUCAAGUCCUCAUGGCCCUUAUGGGUAGGGCUUCACACGUAAUACAAUGGCGCGUACAGAGGGUUGCCAAGGAGCGAUCUGGAGCCAAUCCCGUAAAGCGCGUCGUAGUCCGGAUUGCAGUCUGC